rnacentral:rRNA from 1 species
AAAGAGCGCGUAGGCGGGUUCUUAAGUGAGGGGUGAAAGUCCGGGGCUCAACCCCGGAACUGCCUUUCAUACUGGGAACCUUGAGUGUGGGAGAGGCGAGUGGAAUGGUCGGUGUAGCGGUGAAAUGCGUAGAUAUCGAUCGGAACACCCAUGGCGAAGGCAGCUCGCUGGCCUAUAACUGACGCUGAGGCGCGAAAGCGUGGGGAGCAAACAGGAUUAGAUACCCGUGU